rnacentral:lncRNA from 1 species
AUUGUAAAUAUCAUCUUUGUUUCAUCAAAAUGUUGCUUAAUAGAAUUGUGCAAGGUGAUUUGGCUUUGCUCCUCUUCCUCCUAGCUUUUAAUGUUUCUUUCUAUGUCCUUUUUUGUAGUAAUCAUUUCAUCUAUCAAUUGGCUACAUUGUAUUAUUUUGCUCCUUUAUGAUCAUCUAACCUUUUGGUUGACUGGUUGUAUUUUUUUUACUCUUAUAAUUUCAUAUCACUUUAAUUAUUGGCAUAACAUUAUUUCUUUAGAAUGGAAAAGUAAUGAAGAAUGUGAAGAUAUUUAUAGUGUUGGUUGCUUCAAUGGAAUUUAUGUAAUAUUUUUUAAUUUCUUCU